AUUCUAACCCUGCUAAAAGGCAAAGGAUGGUUUAGUGUUUGUAGACCAAAUAUAAGGAACAACAUGUAUCCAGUGAGAUUUCAAUUAUGUAGGCAAGCCAAGUGCCUGGAAAUUUUGGAUCUCGUCUGAGUUUCUUUCUUCCACGAAUUUCCAACCAACUAUUGACCCUUUUGGGAAUCACCUGCCCACUGUGAAUGACAAAGCUGGAAGAGGGUCUAUUCUCCAUGAAGCUAUUCAAGGACCAAGAGGAAUUGUGUCUGGUGGAGAGAAGGUACUGUUUGUACUCACUUCCACCAGAGACUUUUUGAUGACUCGGCUGAUGUCCCUCCUCCACUCCGGGAUGUCAGGGUUGUAGUCAUCCAAGUUCGGAGAAAAGGCCAAGCGAAGAGACCGAAAUUCCUCUGUGGAUGUAGCAGAGAUGAAUUCGACACACUGGCCACUUUAUAAAAGCAGACCUGAGCCUGGAGCCUAUGAAGAGAAACAAGACAAGCUAGCUGUCCUUCUUCUCAGUCUGCUUGGUGCCCUUGGGCUACUCUAGAAAACUUGCAGCUGUUGACUUGAUCUCCAUCCCUUUAAGCCCGGACAACUUAAAAAUGUGAUUGCCAAGGAUAGUAGAUCUGUUUUCAGGAUUUAAUAAGGCAGUUCAUAGAUAUCAAGUGCUUGGGACAGCUGCCGGUGAUUAAAAUGGUCUUCAUUAAUGUUAGCCUGUGUCACUGUCACCGUUGUUAUUAAUGGAACUGUCACAAAGCAGCAGAAUGAUUUUUAAAACCAGUCAUUUCCCAUGUGUGUCCACAAUUUCCUUGCAGUAAACGAGGGUUCGGAUAAGAAUAACACAGAGACCUCUUAGAUUUACGAUAUUCUCUGUGAUUCACAGAAGAAGGCCAUAUACACAUCUGACCAAAGGGACAUGGUUCAGCGCCCACUAUGGUAACUUGUGACAUUCACACCGAAUCAUCCAGAAGAAAGAAAUAAUCUACGGGCAAUGACAUGAGUCUAGUAAUUUAGGGUAUUGUGUUUUGGAUGUGUAAUGUCUCACAAAUUUUCAUAGUUUUCAACACUUGUUAGCACUGUUUGUAGAGGCCAUGAAGCAUUGAGGAGGAAGAAACUUGCUGAAGGAGAUAUGUUAUUGCACUUGGGUUUGGAGUGUUAGAGCCUGGCCUUACUUCCUGUGCUCUCUGCCCUGCUUUUUGUAUAUGGGUGUGAGAUUAUCAGGCACCUUCCCCACCACUGCCGUAUCUUACCUGCCAUGCACUCUAUGCCUCUGGAAACAUGAACCAAAAGAAACCUGUUUUUGUCCGAGUAUUGGCCACAGAAACAGAAAGAAAAAAGUAAUAUGGAAGGUAGUAUCAGACAAGGGUCCCAGGGCCACAUGGAGCUGGCUUUGAAGCCAUUAAUUGCUGGGUACAGUGAGAGUCUGCAUGCUCACUUUCUGUUUGUUAGGGUUUUACUGAAGAUUAAGCACAAUGCCAGCAGAAACAAGAGAAGUAAAGAAGCUGAAUCAACGGCCUUCUCCACCAGGCAUGUCAGGCUGUAGCCUUCUGGGUGGGGGCCUUUCACAUCCCGGCUGACUUCUGCUUGCUGUCUGAGCUGACCAAACCUCUUCAGACUGGAGGGAGAGGUAAAACGAACGGAUGCAAUGCUGUUUCUAGAACAGUAGCCUUAGGCCUUUUUGUCUUCAGUCAUGUUCAAAGUUGCUCACAAAUUGUUCUUCAGUUUUGAAGGUCAAGUUGGCCCAAGAAAGAGUUGAAAGAAAAGAGCCUCAUGUUCCAAAGGACAAUCUAGACCUUCAUUAUAUUAUUGGAAUCAAUUGAUUUCAGAACUGGGUUAAAUUGAUAUUUUAAAACAAGGAAUCUAAUUUUUUCUCUCUCUCCCCCCUUUCUUCCAGGCACCACAUUCUUUCUCCUUCUGUAGCUCAUACAUUCUCUAUCUAGUUUUCAAAUCUUAUUUUUGAAAUUGUAAUUUCCCAUGAUGCCUAUGUACCAAUUCCAUAUUGAAAAUAAACAUUUCUGUCUUUGC
rnacentral:lncRNA from 1 species